GAUGAACGCUGGCGGCGUGCCUAAUACAUGCAAGUCGAACGCUGGAAAUCUAGUUUGCUAGAUUGAAGGAGUGGCGAACGGGUGAGUAAUACAUAAGCAACCUACCCACGAAGUCUGGGAUAAUCCCUGGAAACGGGGACUAAUACCGGAUAGGUAAUCGGAAGGCAUCUUCUGAUUAUUAAAGGUUAAAAACACUGGUGGAUGGGCUUAUGGCGCAUUAGUUAGUUGGUGAGGUAACGGCCCACCAAGACGAUGAUGCGUAGCCGGCCUGAGAGGGUGAACGGCGACAUUGGGACUGAGACACGGCCCAGACUCCUACGGGAGGCAGCAGUAGGGAAUUUUCGGCAAUGGAGGAAACCCUGACCGGGCGACGCCGCGUGAGUGAUGACGGCCUUCGGGUUGUAAAGCUCUGUUGUAAGGGAAGAACGGUAGAUAGAGAAUAUCUAAAUGACGGUACCUUACCAGAAAGCCACGGCUAACUACGUG
rnacentral:rRNA from 1 species